AGAAAAUGUGAGGUUGACCACUCUACUUGACAAAAAAGAGGCCCAGCUCUUGGCCAUGAACGAACAAUGCAAGGUUCCAGUGGAUCUUGUCAUUGACAAUUCUGUUCAGGUUGAUGUGGCAGGAAGUGAAUGCAAUGCAGGCAAAUAUGGGGCUUGAAUUUCAGAGAAACAAGGAGAGGUUUGUUUUUCUGAAGUGGGGUUCCAAUGUUUUUCACAAUAUGCUCAUUGUUCCUCCUGGUUCUGGUAUUGUCCACCAGGUAAGACUUUGGCAUCAUUAGUGCAUCAAGGGUAUUUCUAUAUCUAGAUGUUAUACUGUUGUUAAAGGAAAAUUCUCAUGGCAAGGUGCAAUAAUUUGCCCUUAAGGUGGUAUGAAUGGUUUACUCUUAAAAGGGCCAAAACAUUAGAUAGGUAUAGGCUCAAUACAUGAGGUUUGCAAUGUUUAACUAUUUAUGGGGCUUCCAGAGUAAAGCCACAUUUACCUCUAGCCUCUUGUAAAUCAUAGUCCAAAUUUUCUCAUUUUUUUAGCACUAUAAUAUUAUUUGGUAGGUUUGGCAUUUAGCAAGUGACUCUGGUAAUUUUCAAGUUAAUCUUGAAUACCUUGGAUGGGUUAUUUUCUACACAAAUGGCAUUCUGUACCCUGAUAGCGUGGUUGGAAUUGAUUCCCAUACAAAUAUGAUUGCUGGCUUAGGAGUUGUUGGCUGGGGAGUUGGAGGAAUUGAAUCUGAGGCUACAAUGCUUCGCUAGGUGCAAAAGAAAAUGUAGCUUCUGCUUCUUCAAAAC